rnacentral:rRNA from 1 species
ACAUGUCGAACUUUCAGAGAUGGAUGGUGCCUUCGGGGAUCGAACACAGGUGCUGCAUGGCUGUCGUCAGCUCGUGUCGUGAGAUGUGGGGGUAAGUCCCGCCACGAGCGCGACCCCGUCCUUAGUUGCCAGCACGUAAUGGUGGGCACUCUAAGGAGACCGCCGGUGACACACCGGAGGAAGGUGGGGAUGACGUCAAGUCAUCAUGGCCCCUACGGCCAGGGCUACACACGUAGUACAAUGGUAGGGACAGAGGGCUGCAAGCCGGCGACGGUGAGCCGAUCCCAGAAACCGCUAUCUCAGUCCGGAUUGGGUCUGCAACUCGACUCAUGAAGUCGGAAUCGCUAGUAAUCGCAGAUCAGCAUUGUCUGCGGUGAAUACGUUCCCGGGCCUUGUACACACCGCCCGUCACACCAUGGGAGUUUGUUGCACCAGAAGCAGGUAGUUAACCUUCGGGAGGGCGCUUGCCACGGUGUGCGAUGACUGGGGUGAAGUCGUAACGAUAGGCGGCCAAAUCGAUCGGUGUU